AUAAGCUAACAACAAACACAACUUUUUCAUUCUUUCUCUUUUUUGAAUGAAAAACCCAAAACUCCCUUUUUUGACCAGUGUGGUUUCCUCCCUUUUUCCACACUGGUUUUUUG
rnacentral:sRNA from 1 species